AUCUUCUUCUUUUACAACUACCGUCGGAAAAACCUAAGACUCAAGUUUUUCACUCUGUAUACCAUUCUAAAACCGGCAUUGAUCGAGAAAGAUAU
rnacentral:lncRNA from 1 species